rnacentral:rRNA from 1 species
UACAGAGGCCUCGAGCGUUAGGCGGAAUCACUGGGCUUAAAGCGUGUGUAGGCGGACUUCUAAGUACCUUGUGAAAUCCCACGGCUCACCCGUGGAACUGCUUGGUAUACUGGUUGUCUUGAGCCUUCUAGGGGCGAGUGGAACAAAUGGUGGAGCGGUGAAAUGCGUAGAUAUCAUUUGGAACGCCAAUGGUGAAAACAGGUAACUGGGAGUGUGCUGACGCUGAGACACGAAAGCCAGGGGAGCGAACGGG